rnacentral:tRNA from 1 species
UGCGAGAUGGAGCAGUGGUCAGCUUACCGGGCUCAUAAUCCGGUGGUCAUAGGUUCGAAUCCUAUUCUCGCAA